GCGGCGUGCCUAACACAUGCAAGUCGAGCGGGGAGAUGCCUUCGGGUAUCUUCUAGCGGCGGACGGGUGAGUAACGCGUGGGCAACCUGCCUCACACAGGGGGAUAACACUGGGAAACUAGUGCUAAUACCGCAUAACAUCAUAAGAUGGCAUCAUCGUAUGAUCAAAGGAGUAAUCCGGUGCGAGAUGGGCCCGCGUCCGAUUAGCUAGUUGGUGGGGUAAAAGCCUACCAAGGCGACGAUCGGUAGCCGAACUGAGAGGUUGAUCGGCCACAUUGGGACUGAGACACGGCCCAGACUCCUACGGGAGGCAGCAGUGGGGAAUAUUGCGCAAUGGGGGAAACCCUGACGCAGCAACGCCGCGUGA
rnacentral:rRNA from 1 species